UUUCCAGUCAACAGUUGAAGCAUCAAAAGGUGAAAAUUUGAGGUAACACAUAUCUUGAGGAAAUGUCGUAGCGAAAAUCAUUUGAGUAUCAGAGUCAGGGGUUCUUUUAUGUUUCCAAUCAAGCAUGAUACUGGCCUUUCCAAUGCAAGCAAUUAAAUGAUUAACGGCAUAACGCUGGCCCAAACAUACAUGAGGACCAUUACCAAAAACCAUCCAAUUCUUAGGACUUUGCUCGGCAAGACCAUUUGGUGCCCAGCGGUCAGGAUUAAAUGUUUCUGGCUCUGGAUAAACCUUAGAAUCGUGAAGUGCACCAUAGAGGGUAGGAAUAACCAUGGCAUCCUUGGGUACUGUGUAGUCAGGAGUAAUAGGGAAAGCUUUCUUAACACGAUAAGGAACCAUCAAUACAGGAGGACGAAGACGUAAACAUUCCUUAACAACGGCACGGGUAUAAGUCAUCUUUUCCAUCAAGUCCAAGCUGAGUGGGACAUCAAUGUCUCCUUUGCGAAUACGAAGCUGUUCUUCACGAACCUUCUGCAAAACAUCAGGAUGAUCAGCCAAAAGUUGAAAGAGCCAAGUCAUAGCACUAGAAGUAGCGUCUUGGGAAGCAAAUAAAAAUGACAAAAACGUAAGUGAAAUUUCCUCAUCAGAAAACUCGCGAAUAAGGACACUAGGCUUCUCAGCCCCCUCUUUAUUUUCAGAUUUGUAUUUACGAGUUUCGAUCAUUUCAUGAAUCCAUUCUUCCAUCAUGCAAGCAGGGGCAUUACCAGCCUCCAUGUUCUUACGGGAUUCAGCAGCAGCCUUCAUAAAGUAGCGCAUAACGACUUUGCGUGAUUGAAUACCGUACCAAACUUUGGUAAACGGCAAUACGAUAGGGAAGUUAACCAACUCCAUAGCAGCAGUAAUCUUCCAAUAUUCGUCAGCAAUGUGCUUAAUAGCAUCGUCGGAGAUAUAGUAACCGCAAAAUGUGCGACAAGAGGUAGCAACAUUUAUGUCACGGAAUGGAAUCAUAUAUUGAGCAUAGUCAUCUUUACUAUGAGCGAGGAAUUCUUUGAAAUAUUUGUUAUAAACAGCUUCUUGGGCUGGUAAAUAAGACGCAAGAGCACGGGUAGUGAAUAAACCAUUGAGUCCUUUACGGUACUCAAUGUGAUCGCGACCAUCAAGAAAAACCCAAUUCGUGUGUUUUAGAAUUUUCUUUCCAGCAUCAACAACGCAGGGUUGAACAUAACUUGGAGAAUUUAAAAUCUUACGGGCCAAAUCGCGUUCGGAAGCGAUAACAACAAAUUUGUGGAAAACAGAAACACAAGAAAGGGGUCCGGUUUGCCAUUUAGCAUUGUAUUUCUCAAAAGUUGGUUUCAUACUAUCCAAGAAAGAUCCCAUGAAAGGGAUCUUAAAUCUAGGUCCAGGGAUAUGCCCCUUUUGCAUCUGAUACGAGACUAAAAAAAUGUUAGAAUCACACGGUACAUAUCAAUAGACUAAAUAAACAUUGAGAAUAAAGAAUUAGCAAC